rnacentral:rRNA from 1 species
AACGAACGCUGGCGGCAGGCUUAACACAUGCAAGUCGAACGCCCCGCCAGGGGAGUGGCAGACGGGUGAGUAACGCGUGGGAACAUACCCUUUUCUACGGAAUAGCUCUGGGAAACUGGAAUUAAUACCGUAUACGCCCUACGGAGGAAAGAUUUAUCGGGGAAGGAUUGGCCCGCGUUGGAUUAGCUAGUUGGUGGGGUAAAGGCCUACCAAGGCGACGAUCCAUAGCUGGUCUGAGAGGAUGAUCAGCCACAUUGGGACUGAGACACGGCCCAAACUCCUACGGGAGGCAGCAGUGGGGAAUAUUGGACAAUGGGCGCAAGCCUGAUCCAGCCAUGCCGCGUGAGUGAUGAAGGCCUUAGGGUUGUAAAGCUCUUUCACCGAUGAAGAUAAUGACGGUAGUCGGAGAAGAAGCCCCGGCUAACUUCGUG